CACCACAGAAGGUAAUAGUCCUGUAUGUUAAACGAGAAGACUUUAGAUAUGAUCCAGAGUACCACGGGACACGUGAAACCCUGUGGGAAGCAGGAGGGACCACCCUCCAAGGCUAAAUACUACCUAGUGACCGAUAGCGUAUAGUACCGUGAGGGAAAGGUGAAAAGAACCCCGGGAGGGGAGUGAAAUAGAACCUGAAACCCUGCACUUACAAGCUGUGGAAGCACAUUUCUUGUGUGACCGCGUACUUUUUGUAGAACGGGCCAACGAGUUACGUUAAGUAGCAAGGUUAAGCACUUAAGGUGCGGAGCCGUAGCGAAAGCGAGUUUUAACUGAGCGUUCAGUUACUUGACGUAGACCCGAAACCGGGCGACCUACCCAUGAGCAGGAUGAAGCGAAAGUAAAAUUUCGUGGAGGUCCGAACCCACGAGCGUUGAAAAGCUCGGGGAUGACUUGUGGGUAGCGGUGAAAUUCCAAUCGAGCCCGGAGAUAGCUGGUUCUCCCCGAAAUAGCUUUAGGGCUAGCCUCAAGGUGAGAGAUACGGAGGUAGAGCACUGAAUGUCCUAGGGGGUAUUGCACCUACCGAAGACUAUCAAACUCCGAAUGCCGUCAUCUUAUACUUGGGAGUCAGACUGUGGGUGAUAAGAUUCAUAGUCGAAAGGGCAACAGCCCAGAUCGUCAGCUAAGGUCCCUAAAUGUAAGUUAAGUGGUAAAGGAUGUGGGAUUGCACAGACAACCAGGAUGUUGGCUUAGAAGCAGCCACUCAUUCAAAGAGUGCGUAAUAGCUCACUGGUCGAGUGAUCCUGCGCCGAAGAUUUCCGGGGCUAAAACUUAC
rnacentral:rRNA from 1 species